rnacentral:rRNA from 1 species
GACGUAGGGCGCGAGCGUUGUCCGGAUUUAUUGGGCGUAAAGGGCUCGUAGGCGGUCCGUCACGUCGGGAGUGAAAUCCUGGGGCUUAACCCCAGAACUGCUUCCGAUACGGGCAGACUAGAGGUAGGUAGGGGAGAAUGGAAUUCCUGGUGUAGCGGUGGAAUGCGCAGAUAUCAGGAGGAACACCAGUGGCGAAGGCGGUUCUCUGGGCCUUACCUGACGCUGAGGAGCGAAAGCGUGGGGAGCAAACAGG